ensembl:lncRNA
CGUAGUCACCAUGGCCAACAGAGAUGUGUUUGUGAAAAAUGCAGUUCUAUACCAAUAGUUGUUCAACGGCAGAGCUGUCUUGAUCAACUCAUUGAUGGCUUGUCCCACAAUGGAGUUUUAUCACUCCUGAGAGAGAACCCCAGCUUGUGUGUGCUGCUUGACAUACCAGGAGAUGACAAAGGUCAAGAAACUGAUUUUGUAGCUGGUAUUCUCAAACCAAGCUACUCCGUACUGGGGAGCAACAGAAGAGCUAAGGAGGAGUUGAUAGUGGUCAAAUUUAGGGAGUUUCUCCAAUGUGUUGAAAAUAAAGAGCUGAGAGACACAUAUGGGGACAGGACUCUAACCAACGAUGAGGAGGCAUUCCUGAAGACUUUGAGCCCUGGUCACAUCCUGGCGUUUGCUACAGGUAGCAGCAAAGUCCCAGCCACUGGCUUUCAUUCAUCUCCUAAAUUAAUGUUUAUUCAUGAUGAAAAAAAACAUCUUCCCAUUGUGCACACUUGUACAAAUGAGCUUCACCUUUUUGUAAACGGAAAAACAAUGGCUGAUGAUAAUGAAUUUAACUACUGCUUCCUAGUAGCACUAAUGAAUGGAUCUUUAUUCAGCACCAUUUAAACAAACUUUGUGAAAGAACCUCUGCAGUGUAAUACACCACUGUUUAGUGGAGGGCUCCUCAUGUUUGUUCAUAGAAGACAUAGUUUGUCCAUGUUAUAAAGCAAUGGUUUUUAAUUGCAGUACAUAAGAAUGCUAAAAAAGAAAUACUUUAGAUUGUGUUUUCCCAUCUUGCUCCACACUCUUUGCCCUGUUUUCUUACAAAAAAUGUUGACCUCUGUGAGGACUAUCUGACCC